CGGGGAUAACAGGCUGAUACCGCCCAAGAGUUCAUAUCGACGGCGGUGUUUGGCACCUCGAUGUCGGCUCAUCACAWCCUGGGGCUGAAGUAGGUCCCAAGGGUAUGGCUGUUCGCCAUUUAAAGUGGUACGCGAGCUGGGUUUAGAACGUCGUGAGACAGUUCGGUCCCUAUCUGCCGUGGGCGCUGGAGAACUGAGGGGGGCUGCUCCUAGUACGAGAGGACCGGAGUGGACGCAUCACUGGUGUUCGGGUUGUCAUGCCAAUGGCACUGCCCGGUAGCUAAAUGCGGAAGAGAUAAGUGCUGAAAGCAUCUAAGCACGAAACUUGCCCCGAGAUGAGUUCUCCCUGACUCCUUGAGAGUCCUGAAGGAACGUUGAAGACGACGACGUUGAUAGGCCGGGUGUGUAAGCGCAGCGAUGCGUUGAGCUAACCGGUACUAAUGAACCGUGAGGCUUAACCUUACAACGCCGAAG
rnacentral:rRNA from 1 species